rnacentral:lncRNA from 1 species
AUGAACUGUGAAAAUACCAAUAUAGUUGUCAGCACAGCUCGUCCGUGUUGUCCAUCAUUCUGUAGACUGGCCUGUUGUCAUGAAGAAAGAGGGAGUGAGAAGGUGGCUGAGAGAGACAGAGAAAUGUGGAGAAGGGUGGAUGACAGGGUGAGAGAAACAAAGAGAGAAACGAGAAGAAGGCAGACAGACAUUAACAGCUUCAGACACAUGACCUACACUGACUUUGGUGGUUGCUGGGGUAACCGUUUCCCAAGGUCAGUCAGAGUAAAAAAAGGUGGGAUUUUUUUUACCCCCUUGAAGCCAGCAUGAAAUGGCACUCUUUUCUACCCUUGAUCUGACAAAGGGUUCAAAGGUUUUGAGAACUAAGUUCAAAUUAAUAUUGUUAUUGCAAAUGAUGUUACCAGCAUAAACAUUUGAGGGAAAUAUCUCUAAGGAAGUUAAUAUUUCAGUAAUUUAACAAAAACAUUUGCAUGUUUACAGUCCGAUGUCGCUAAAAAGAAUACAGGUAAAACAAAUUAAAUAUUUCUAUUUUUAAUGUUGAAAUGUAUUUUAUUUUAUUAAUAAUUAGCUUUUUAUCAACUCACAAGCCCACUGCAGUUCUUGAAUUAAGCCAAUUUUGGAAAAUCCAAUUAAUUUAAUGAUAUCAAAAAAAUAGAAUAUAUAUUCUUUCUCUUUGCUUUUUUAUGUCAGUAUGGUAUGUUUAAUUGUAAGUUUAAAACAAUUUAGAAUUUAAAAAAAAAAGUAAUACUAAAAAGUAGUACAGAAUACACUUACCCUAAAAUGAGUAACUUACUGUAGAUUACAUUAAUAGCUACUAGUUUCAUCAUGUAAUUCAUAAUCACUUAUGCACUACAAUUUGUAAGUAAUCUGCACAGCUCUGGAUCAUAAAUAAAAAAAACAAUGUUACAUGUUGUUAAAAAUUAAAUAGAGUUGACUACCAUUUCAGUAUUAAUGCAAAUUUUGUAAGAUACUUCAAAGUAGUUUUUAAAGGGUUGGCUUUGUUGUAGUCAUAUUUGUUUUGGUUUCAUUUAAUAUUGAGCUUUUUUCUUUCAUUUUAUGUGCUUUGGGAAUUUCCCCCGUGCUCAUUACUGCUCCUCUGAGCUGGUUUGGAUGCUCUCUGCUUUUCCUCUUGCAUAGGAGCGGCUGUAGAAAUGAAGGGUUUGUGUGUCUGGUAAAUUGGGUGGAUGGCACGGGGCUGUGAUGCUCAUGCUACAAGGUUUCCACAUGAGAAAUGACAGCAAUCAGGAUGUUAAAGUCCAUUUUGCAGAAAAAUGCAGUAAUGGACAAAGCUGCUGCCAGGCCUGAGAUGCAUGAAUGUUUCAAAAUAUCAUUUUAGAAAUGGAAAUGUAUCAAUUUAGGAGCAAGAAUUAUGCAUUGCAGUGAAGGACUGAAUUGCCAUGAAGUAAUCUAAAAAGUAGUCAGAAUACAUUCCCUAAAAUGAGUAACUUACUGUAGAUUACAUUAAUAGCUACAGUUUUCAUCAUGUAAUUCAUAAUCACUUAUGCACUACAAUUUGUAAGUAAUCUGCACAGCUCUGGAUCAUAAAUAAAAAAACAUGUUACAUGUUGUUAAAAAUUAAAUAGAGUUGACUACCAUUUCAGUAUUAAUGCAAAUUUUGUAAGAUACUUCAAAGUAGUUUUUUAAAGGGUUGGCUUUGUUGUAGUCAUAUUUGUUUUGGUUUCAUUUAAUAUUUGAGCUUUUUUUCUUUCAUUUUUAUGUGCUUUGGGAAUUUCCCCCGUGCUCAUUACUGCUCCUCUGAGCUGGUUUGGAUGCUCUCUGCUUUUCCUCUUGCAUAGGAGCGGCUGUAGAAAUGAAGGGUUUGUGUGUCUGGUAAAUUGGGUGGAUGGCACGGGGCUGUGAUGCUCAUGCUACAAGGUUUCCACAUGAGAAAUGACAGCAAUCAGGAUGUUAAAGUCCAUUUUGCAGAAAAAUGCAGUAAUGGACAAAGCUGCUGCCAGGCCUGAGAUGCAUGAAUGUUUCAAAAUAUCAUUUUAGAAAUGGAAAUGUAUCAAUUUAGGAGCAAGAAUUAUGCAUUG